CCCGUAAAAAAUUCGCCCUAGAGUUUGAUCAUGGAUCAGAUUGAACGCUGGCGGAAUGCUUUACACAUGCAAGUCGAACGAUGAUUUCUAGCUUGCUAGAAUGAUUAGUGGCGAACGGGUGAGUAAUGUAUCGGAACGUAUCCAAUAAUGGGGGAUAACUAAUCGAAAGGUUGGCUAAUACCGCAUACGCCCUACGGGGGAAAGCAGGGGAUCUUCGGGACCUUGCGUUAAUGGAGCGGCCGAUAUCUGAUUAGCUAGUUGGUGAGGUAAAAGCUCACCAAGGCGACGAUCAGUAGCUGGUCUGAGAGGACGACCAGCCACACUGGAACUGAGACACGGUCCAGACUCCUACGGGAGGCAGCAGUGGGGAAUUUUGGACAAUGGGCGAAAGCCUGAUCCAGCCAUUCCGCGUGAGUGAAGAAGGCCUUCGGGUUGUAAAGCUCUUUCGCAAGGGAAGAAACGAUGCAGUCGAAUAAACUGUGUUAAUGACGGUACCUUGAUAAGAAGCACCGGCUAACUACGUGCCAGCAGCCGCGGUAAUACGUAGGGUGCAAGCGUUAAUCGGAAUUACUGGGCGUAAAGCGUGCGCAGGCGGUUUUGUAAGUCAGAUGUGAAAUCCCCGAGCUCAACUUGGGAACUGCGUUUGAAACUACAAGACUAGAAUAUGUCAGAGGGGGGUAGAAUUCCACGUGUAGCCAGUGAAAUGCGUAGAGAUGUGGAGGAAUACCAAUGGCGAAGGCAGCCCCCUGGGAUAAUAUUGACGCUCAUGCACGAAAGCGUGGGGGAGCAAACAGGAUUAGAUACCCUGGUAGUCCACGCCCUAAACGAAUGUCUACUAGUUGGUUGGUGGAGUAAAAUCCAUGAGUAACGCAGCUAACGCGUGAAGUAGACCGCCUGGGGAGUACGGUCCGCAAGAUUAAAACUCAAACGAAUUGACGG
rnacentral:rRNA from 1 species